GGAUUCCCCUAGUAACGGCGAGUGAAGCGGGAUGAGCUCAAAUUUGUAAUCUGGCGGUCUCUGGCCGCCCGAGUUGUAGUCUGGAGAAGCGUUUUCCGCGUCGGACCGUGUACAAGUCCCUUGGAACAGGGCGUCGUAGAGGGUGAGAAUCCCGUCUUUGACACGGACUGCCGAUGCUUUGCGAUGCGCUCUCGAAGAGUCGAGUUGUUUGGGAAUGCAGCUCAAAACGGGUGGUAAAUUCCAUCUAAAGCUAAAUAUGGGCGAAAGACCGAUAGCGAACAAGUACCGUGAGGGAAAGAUGAAAAGCACUUUGGAAAGAGAGUUAAACAGUACGUGAAAUUGUUGAAAGGGAAACGCUUGAAGUCAGUCGCGUCUCCUGGGACUCAGCCUUGCUUCUGCUUGGUGUAUUUCCUGGGGCGACGGGCCAGCAUCGAUUUCGACCGUCGGAGAAGGGCCUUGGGAACGUGGCACCCUUUGGGUGUGUUAUAGCCCUCGGUCGUAUGCGACGGUCGGGAUCGAGGACCGCAGCACGCCUUUCUGGCCGGGGUUCGCCCACGUACGUGCUUAGGAUGCUGGCGUAAUGGCUUUAAGCGACCCG
rnacentral:rRNA from 1 species